CGCGCGUGCGCCGUGCUGUCGGUGCGGUGGCGCAUGCGGCGUUGGGUUGCUUGGUGGGGUGGGCAGCAGCGCGAGCCCCUGGAGGCCCUGCCCAGGUCCAGUCCAUUAGAGCAGCGCUCUGCAGCAGCUGCACCUUCACAAACUUGCCUCUGGGGCUACAGAGAAGAGCAAGACACAGAUUGCCCCAGAGCUCUGCAUGAAGCAGCACAAAGAACACAGUUACCCAUCCCGUGGUUUCUGAGCCAACAAGCCUAAAAUACUUAUAUUAGAAAAACGACUAUUUUGUUAGAGCUGCUAUUUCAUUUUUGGAAUAUACUCUUCCUUUGUGAAAGUUCAUAGAUUGCAGAAGAUUCACAUUUGAAAAAUACAACUCUUGUUACCAGACCCUCAAGAAAAAGCAAUACAGGAAAGGAAGUGUGUUCCACUUAUUCAGAAUAUCAGAUUUCAAGGUAAUUCCUGUCUAGCAUGGUGCAGUUCUUGGAUUUUUAACUGCCAGAUUUUGAUACAGGAAUCAUUUAUGGUUCCACGCUAUGCAACACCAUAUGUAGAGAUUAACACCGUAAUGCUCAUCCUUCUUCAGAAACAAAUAGGGAAGGAAGGAAGAAGUAAAAAUGUAACACCUUUCAGAAUACAGCCUCUAAUUUCUUGUUAAAUCUCUCUCAAAGAGAUCAUUAUUUGUAAUUCUGUGAGUUGGAACAUGCUUGUAGCUGUGACAAUAAACCUAAUAAAUGCUCUUGAACAGGGUGGUUACUUUCGUAUUACUCACACAGUCCUUUUCUCAACUGUACAUUUUUGCCUUGAGGGAUGUGUCUGCCUUUCUCCAUGACGUCUAACCGUAUUGUUGUUAUACUGGUUAGCUUUGUAGGGUGGAGGUAGGUAGAAACUAUACACACAGAUAGCAAUAACUUAAUUUCUUGAGGCCAAAAUCUCUUAAGACAGAGACUCAUAGGUUAUAGUCAUUAUCAGGUCCUGUCAAAAUACUAUAUUUAAACACAACUGGGCAAACUCAACACCAUUCCAGAUGAGCCCAAACAUUAACCCUCUGUGGGAAAGCUGUUUUCAAAUAAUGCCUAUUACAUAGUGCUUUUCCUCAGUAGGUCACAGCUGGCUUUGCAGAGGUCUGUAUGUCAUUUCAAGGUGGGGAAUCGGAUCUGAAAUGGCAAAGUGAAUUGGUCAAGAUCAUCCAACAGGCGAGUAGCAGGGCCAGGCAUCAAACUUGGAUAUCCUGUCUAGUACAGCCACAGUAACUAGAAAACCUUUGAUUUCUUGUUCUUAGAGCAUGCACUAACUCCUUUUUCCUCCAAAGACCAUGUUUUGGAGCCUCAUAGCUGCCACUUUUUCCUCUGAAGAUCUUCAAAGUAUGUUGUGCUGAUGUCAGGGAUAUAAUGAUGCAGCCAGGCACUCAAGGCACAGGGGCUGUGGUGACUUAACAUUGGCCACCAGCACAGUCACACAGCUGCCAGUGUUUUUGUUGUCCCCCUCUCCCUAAGUCAGUGCCCAGGGUGGUUGCCUGGUCACCCCACCCUAGUUAUACCACUAGUUGAUGCUCCCCCAAUCUUCUCUAGUAUUAGGCAUCUUAAAUCUAUGGCUUUGGUCCCCUUUUCUAAGACAGUUUCUUCUAGAUUCGGCAGCAACUAUCACCCCAAUCACUAUGCAUUCUAUUCCCCAAAGUGCAUUUUGGGGCCUGGACAGGCAAUGCCCUGGGAAAGGUCUUGCAUCCAAAUAAUCCAAAUCCAAAACUCAGCACAGUCCCUGGCUCCUGCCCUUCCUAUGCAAGCCCUGCAUAUGGGAAUGUCAGGGUUCAGUGCUGGGAGGGUGGAGGGCAGUGGAUCAUCCUGCACACACAAGAUAGGAAUUCGAAAGAUGCUGGCUACACCCUAGUGAGGUUACUACACAUUUGGCUAAAAUAAAUCUGCUUUGGGCAACAGAUUGUGAAAUUUAUCUGCACUUGUGUAAAGAUGUAUACCAAAGCUGAGAUAACCCACAAA